GUAGGGUGCGAGCGUUGUCCGGAAUUAUUGGGCGUAAAGAGCUCGUAGGCGGUGUGUCACGUCGGCCGUGAAAACCUGCAGCUUAACUGUGGGCGUGCGGUCGAUACGGGCAUCACUGGAGUUCGGCAGGGGAGACUGGAAUUCCUGGUGUAGCGGUGAAAUGCGUAGAUAUCGGAAGGAACAUCAGUGGCGAAAGCGGCUUCCUGGUCCAGCACCGACGUUCAGGCACGAAAGCGUGGGGAGCAAACAGG
rnacentral:rRNA from 1 species